CCGAACCGACUAAUGUUGAAAAAUUAGCGGAUGACCUGUGGCUGGGGGUGAAAGGCCAAUCAAACCGGGAGAUAGCUGGUUCUCCCCGAAAGCUAUUUAGGUAGCGCCUCGUGAAUUCAUCUCCGGGGGUAGAGCACUGUUUCGGCUAGGGGGCCAUCCCGGCUUACCAACCCGAUGCAAACUGCGAAUACCGGAGAAUGUUAUCACGGGAGACACACGGCGGGUGCUAACGUCCGUCGUGAAGAGGGAAACAACCCAGACCGCCAGCUAAGGUCCCAAAGUCAUGGUUAAGUGGGAAACGAUGUGGGAAGGCCCAGACAGCCAGGAUGUUGGCUUAGAAGCAGCCAUCAUUUAAAGAAAGCGUAAUAGCUCACUGGUCGAGUCGGCCUGCGCGGAAGAUGUAACGGGGCUAAACCAUGCACCGAAGCUGCGGCAGCGACACUGUGUGUUGUUGGGUAGGGGAGCGUUCUGUAAGCCUGUGAAGGUGUGUCGUGAGGCAUGCUGGAGGUAUCAGAAGUGCGAAUGCUGACA
rnacentral:rRNA from 2 species